CAGUCGCCGCGGGAAUACGAAGGGGGUUAGCGUUGUUCGGAUUUACUGGGCGUAAAGGGCGCGUAGGCGGUUUCUUAAGUCUGAUGUGAAAGCCCCCGGCUCAACCGGGGAGGGUCAUUGGAAACUGGGAAACUUGGGUGCAGAAGAGGAGAGUGGAAUUCCACGUGUAGCGGUGAAAUGCGUAGAGAUGUGGAGGAACACCAGUGGCGAAGGCGACUCUCUGGUCUGUAACUGACGCUGAGGAGCGAAAGCGUGGGGAGCGAACAGGAUUAGAUACCCGCGUAGUCCCUGUCUCUUAUAC
rnacentral:rRNA from 1 species